rnacentral:rRNA from 1 species
AAUGAACGUUGGCGGCGUGGAUUAGGCAUGCAAGUCGAACGAGAUCUGUAGCAAUACAGUGAAAGUGGCGAAAGGGAGAGUAAUACGUAGGUACCUGCCCUCGGGUCUGGGAUAGCUGCGGGAAACUGCAAUUAAUACCGGAUGACGUCUCUGGACCAAAGGUGUGAUUCCGCCAGGGGAUGGGCCUGCGUCCUAUCAGCUAGUUGGUGUGGUCAUGGCGCACCAAGGCUAAGACGGGUACGGGGUGUGAGAGCAUGCCCCCGCUCACUGGGACUGAGAUACUGCCCAGACACCUACGGGUGGCUGCAGUCGAGAAUCUUCCGCAAUGGGCGCAAGCCUGACGGAGCGACGCCGCGUGUGGGAUGAAGGCCUUCGGGUUGUAAACCACUGUCAGUGGGGAGCAAAUGCAUCAGGGUUCUCCCUGGUGUUUGAGCGAUCCGCAGAGGAAGCACAGGCUAAUUCCGUGCCAGCAGCCGCCGUAAGAC